AUGGGUGGCACGAUGUUUUCUGUGACGUGGCGGCGGUGGCAGUCAGUGGACUUCAGUGCACCUCUUUAUCUAGAUCAGUCUAAUGUGAUGUACAUGAAACCUGAGGUUACUUCCGAUGUAGGUGGCUUUAUCAAGCCAUACACUUUGACGAUUUGGCUGAUGCUGUUCAUCGCUUCCCUGUUGGUGUUUUCAGCCACAUUCCUCAUCCUCAGGGCUGAAGCAUUCCUCAAGACAAUGACAAAGAACCAGAACCUAUCGUGUCAUACAGCGGUUGGGUGGGUACCGACGGCUAACCAAUCAUCUGCCUACACUUGGUCCACGCUGUUGGCCCAAA